rnacentral:rRNA from 1 species
GGGGAAUAUUGGACAAUGGGCGCAAGCCUGAUCCAGCCAUACCGCGUGGGUGAAGAAGGCCUUCGGGUUGUAAAGCCCUUUUGUUGGGAAAGAAAUCCAGCUGGCUAAUACCCGGUUGGGAUGACGGUACCCAAAGAAUAAGCACCGGCUGACUUCGUGCCAGCAGCCGCGGUAAUACGAAGAGUGCAAGCGUUACUCGGAAUUACUGGGCGUAAAGCGUGCGUAGGUGGUCGUUUAAGUCCGUUGUGAAAGCCCUGGGCUCAACCUGGGAACUGCAGUGGAUACUGGGCGACUAGAGUGUGGUAGAGGGUAGCGGAAUUCCUGGUGUAGCAGUGAAAUGCGUAGAGAUCAGGAGGAACAUCCAUGGCGAAGGCAGCUACCUGGACCAACACUGACACUGAGGCACGAAAGCGUGGGGAGCAAAC